rnacentral:rRNA from 1 species
CAGCCGCCGCGGGAAUACGAAGGGGGCUAGCGUUGUUCGGAAUCACUGGGCGUAAAGCGCACGUAGGCGGACUUUUAAGUCAGGGGUGAAAUCCCAAGGCUCAACCUUGGAACUGCCUUUGAUACUGGAAGUCUUGAGUUCGGGAGAGGUGAGUGGAACUGCGAGUGUAGAGGUGAAAUUCGUAGAUAUUCGCAAGAACACCAGUGGCGAAGGCGGCUCACUGGCCCGAUACUGACGCUGAGGUGCGAAAGCGUGGGGAGCAAACAGGAUUAGAUACCCCUGUAGUCCCUGUCUCUUAUAC